rnacentral:tmRNA from 1 species
GGGGGCGAACAGGUUUCGACCGGAUAGGCGAAGCGUAAGCGGCGUGUCGUGGUUGAUCAGUGGGCCACGUUAAAAGCUGAUCACAAUCUUCAAUUGCUGAAGGUUCCUACGCUUUGGCUGCCUAAUUAAUUAGGCAUCCCGGACUAUGGGCUGACGUCGGGUCGGCCCGGACGUCCGUCACCAAUCCCGACUAGCCGCGCGGCAAUGUUGGAUACACACGCGGCGAAAUAAAGUUUCCGACUAGCGAGCCCGAAGCCCUGUCGAUGAGGCGUCGAGCAAGCGAAAUUAAACUCGCCGACUACACACGUAGAAGUUUGCGUGGAGAUAUCUCGGGACGCGGGUUCGAUUCCCGCCGCCUCCACUU